rnacentral:sRNA from 1 species
UGGUCCUGCCUCGCUGCCUUCAGUCCUUAGUGUCUGGGUCCCCGCCCUCCAGCCGCCUUUAAGUCCUGCCUGGGUCUUCGCCCUUGCCUCAGAACCGCGAAGAAAGGAAGCUCGCGUGUUUGCUAGAAAACCUAGUUGAGAGUGCGAGACAGAGAACGUUCAGCACCUUUGUUCCUCCCGAACCUUCGGGACAGACGCAGGGUUCUGAGGGCAGAGAUUCCCCCUCGUCUUGGCCCCACAGCCCGGGCUGGGCACUAAACUCGGGCCGCGGCGGGGCGAGCGAGGCGGGCUCCGGAGGAAGCUGACGCCUGAUGAUGGCUCAGUCCAACAUGCUCCCCGUGGCUGAUGUGUUGAGUCAAGAUGAACUGCGCAAAAAGCUAUACCAGACGUUUAAGGAUCGGGGUAUACUGGAUAGACUCAAGACACAACUUCGAAACCAGCUGAUUCAUGAGUUGAUGCACCCUGUAUUGAGUGGAGAACUGCAACCUCGGUCCAUUUUGGUAGAAGGGAGCUCCCUCUUAAUAGGCGCCUCUAACUCUUUAGUGGCAGAUCACUUACAAAGAUGUGGCUAUGAAUAUUCACUUUCUGUUUUCUUUCCAGAAAGUGGUUUGGCAAAAGAAAAGGUAUUUACUAUGCAGGAUCUAUUACAACUCAUUAAAAUCAACCCUACUUCCAGUCUCUACAAAUCACUGGUUUCAGGAUCUGAUAAAGAAAAUCAAAAAGGUUUUCUUAUGCAUUUUUUAAAAGAAUUGGCAGAAUAUCAUCAAGCUAAAGAGAGUUGUAAUAUGGAAACUCAGACAAGUUCGACAUUUAACAGAGAUUCUCUGGCUGAGAAGCUUCAGCUUAUUGAUGAUCAGUUUGCAGAUGCUUACCCUCAGCGUAUCAAGUUCGAAUCUUUAGAAAUAAAGCUAAAUGAAUAUAAGAGAGAAAUAGAAGAGCAACUUCGGGCAGAAAUGUGUCAAAAGUUGAAGUUUUUUAAAGAUACCGAGAUAGCAAAAAUUAAAAUGGAAGCAAAAAAAAAGUAUGAAAAGGAAUUAGCCAUGUUCCAGAAUGAUUUUGAGAAAGCUUGUCAAGCAAAAUCUGAAGCCCUCGUUCUUCGAGAAAAGAGUACCCUUGAAAGAAUUCAAAAGCACCAAGAGAUUGAAACAAAAGAAAUUUAUGCUCAAAGGCAACUUUUACUAAAAGAUAUGGAUUUGCUAAGAGGAAGAGAAGCAGAGCUGAAGCAAAGAGUUGAAGCUUUUGAAUUGAACCAGAAGCUCCAGGAAGAAAAACAUAAAAGCAUAACUGAGGCACUUAGGAGACGGGAGCAGAAUAUAAAGAGUUUUGAGGAGACCUAUGACCGAAAGCUCAAGAAUGAACUUCUGAACUUCCACAGGCUGCAUGGUGUCUGCCUGGCUUUGGGAAUCCUCAUAUGACUUUGGCAGGUGUUGGAGUUUGGAGGCUCUUCACCACAGGAGUGCUUCUAUUUCCUUUUGGAACCAAAAGGGCAGCUGGUAACAGCUGGGAAAGGGAAGUGAAACUGUGAAAUUGUGCCUUUUGGUAUUGCUAAUCCGGAUAUAAUGCUCUUGGCAGUUGGCUCUCAGGACUGCGCUUAGUCCCUGAGCACAAAAGUUCUUACCUUGGUUGGGGGUGGGCAGAUGGUACAGGUGGAUUGGAAGUGACUGUCUGAUUAUCAUUUGGGAUUGAGUCUGUUGUGUGCUGUGUAAAUUUAAUUUACCCCUUUGCUCUUUGUGUCAGUUGAGACCAACUGAAAAGUGAUUCCUUUGAGUAAGUAACCUUAUGAUAACACGACCCUUCAUUUUGUGUGAUUGAGUUUUGGGACCCAGUUUAUAGGAUCAAGGAAGGGUUUUACUGGGCAUUUUAUGUUGAGAGGUCAUAUCCCUGGCUUUAGUAUUGAGGACUUUGAAGUUUACACAUUGUCAUGUUUAGCGCCCUCAGGUGCUCCUGUGCCAUAGAUAAGCUCCUGCACUGAUAACAGUCUUUCCAGAAAAAUGACUGAGGAGCUCAUAUUUAGUCAUUCUGAUUCUCAGGUAUCAACUUGAACUGAAGGAUGACUACAUCAUUAGAACUAAUCGACUGAUUGAAGAUGAAAGGAAGAAUAAAGAAAAAGCUGUUCAUUUGCAAGAGGAGCUCAUAGCUGUUAAUUCAAAAAAGGAGGAACUCAAUCAAUCUGUAAAUCGUGUGAAAGAACUUGAGCUUGAAUUAGAGUCUGUCAAAGCCCAGUCUUUGGCAAUAACAAAACAAAACCAUAUGCUGAAUGAAAAGGUUAAAGAGAUGAGUGAUUAUUCACUACUAAAAGAAGAGAAACUGGAGCUUCUGGCACAAAAUAAAUUACUUAAACAACAACUGGAAGAGAGUAGAAAUGAAAACUUGCGUCUCCUAAACCGCCUAGCUCAGCCGGCUCCUGAACUUGCAGUCUUUCAGAAAGAACUACGGAAAGCCGAAAAGGCUAUAGUGGUUGAGCAUGAGGAGUUCGAAAGCCGCAGGCAAGCUCUGCACAAACAACUGCAAGAUGAAAUUGAGCAUUCUGCACAGCUGAAGGCCCAGAUUCUAGGUUACAAAGCUUCUGUAAAGAGGUUAACUACUCAGGUUGCCGAUUUAAAAUUGCAACUGAAGCAAACUCAGACAGCCCUAGAGAAUGAAGUGUACUGCAAUCCAAAGCAGUCUGUGAUCGAUCGUUCUGUCAAUGGAUUAAUAAAUGGCAAUGUGGUGCCUUGCAAUGGUGAGAUAAGUGGGGAUUUCUUGAACAAUCCUUUUAAACAGGAAAACGUUCUAGCACGUAUGGUUGCAUCAAGGAUCACAAAUUAUCCAAAUGCAUGGGUGGAAGGUAGUUCCCCUGAUUCUGACCUUGAGUUUGUAGCCAAUACUAAGGCAAGGGUCAAAGAGCUUCAGCAAGAGGCCGAACGCUUGGAAAAGGCUUUCAGAAGUUACCAUCGGAGAGUCAUUAAAAACUCUGCCAAAAGCCCACUAGCAGCAAAGAGCCCACCAUCUCUGCACUUGCUGGAAGCCUUCAAAAACAUUACUUCCAGUUCCCCGGAAAGACAUAUUUUUGGAGAGGACAGAGUUGUCUCUGAGCAGCCUCAAGUGGGCACACUUGAAGAAAGGAAUGACAUCUUGGAAGCACUGACAGGCAGUGCAGCCUCGAGGCUCCGCGGGGGCACUUCCUCCAGACGCCUCUCCUCCACACCCCUUCCAAAAGCAAAAAGAAGCCUCGAAAGUGAAAUGUAUCUGGAAGGUCUGGGCAGAUCACACGUUGCUUCCCCCAGUCCUUGUCCUGACAGAAUGCCCCUACCAUCACCCACUGAGUCUAGGCACAGCCUCUCCAUCCCUCCCGUCUCCAGCCCUCCGGAGCAGAAAGUGGGCUGCAGGGAACGUGCCAAGGCAGUUGGAAAUGGGCGGGCUUUCUCCUGCCGGGGAUAUGCCUCAUGUGGACGCUGCUGCAGCUGCUGUGCCCCUCUCAUAUCAGCACCCAAGUGUAGAUCAGAAACAAAUUGAAGAACAAAAGGAAGAAGAAAAAAUACGGGAACAGCAAGUGAAAGAACGAAGGCAGAGAGAAGAAAGAAGGCAGAGUAACCUACAAGAAGUUUUAGAAAGGGAACGAAGAGAACUAGAAAAACUGUAUCAGGAAAGGAGGAUGAUUGAAGAAUCACUGAAGAUUGAAAUAGAAAAUGAAUUAGAAAUGGAAAAUGAAUUAGAAAUGAGUAAUCAAGAAAUAAAAGACAAAUCUGCUCACAGUGAAAAUCCUUUAGAGAAAUACAUGAAAAUCAUCCAGCAGGAGCAAGACCAGGAGUUGGCAGAUAAGAGCUCAAAAAAGAUGGUCCAAGAAGGCUCCCUAGUGGACACGCUGCAAUCUAGUGACAAAGUCGAAAGUUUAACAGGCUUUUCUCAUGAAGAACCAGAUGACUCUUGGUAACCAUGUUUGCUGCCCAGCUUCUAACUUACAUACCAUGAGAAGUUACAUAACAUUUACUCCUUUGUAAAUGUUUCCCUAUCAUCAGACAAAACUCAAUAAAAAUGUGUGUAAUCCAGUGUGGGUUUUUUUUUUUCCCCCCCAUAAUUUUGAUACCAUAGUGUGUGAACCAAGAAUAAUCUAGUCACGUGAAACCUCUUCUCCAGUCAUAGUAUUUCUCAUUCAUUAUAAUAAAAGUAACUGGCUUUUAA